CGACACAUGCACGCUGGUGCUGAUGAUGCCGGAGAUGGAGCGCGUGCCAUCUCCCCCUCCUUCAAUUUGUGGGGAGGGGGGAGGAGGAGGAUGCGAGGAUGUGAUUUAAACAAAAAACAAAAAAAAAAGAGGGAGAAAAUAAAUGGACGAGGCCGUUGGGACGUCACUCCAUGCGCCGCUCGUGGAUGCUCUCAUCUGGGAUGCCAGCGGAGGGACCACCGGAUCCUCAAGCAUCAUGCAGGAACUUGGAAUGAUUAGGCGCCUCAACCUAAUAGGGUGUUUGGACACCUUUUCCUGUACUACGAAAGCUGUUUAAAAGUGGGAAAACGACAACAUUCUGACAGAUGGGAGACAGGAUGGACAAUGUUAAACGCUUUCAUAAUAUGUGUUAUAUAUCUUGUUUUUUUUUUUAAAUUAAUAUUUAAAGCAUUCACAUUGUACACACCCAUACACACUAAAAUUAUUGUAUUACCAUAAUUACUUGUAUUCAUUAAUUACACGAUUUAGUUUAAACUAAUUAGAAUAAGAGUGUAAUUGUAGAUUUGGGAGGGCAAAUGCCAAAUUUUAUAAAAAAAAAAAUAUUUUCUACAACACUGGUGAUUUCAUGAUUUGAUUUGAACAAUCAAAUGUUUGACAAUCUGUGUGCAUUGUGGAGUGUGUGCAUAUAUAUAUAUAUAUAUAUAUAUAUAAUGUCAUAACUAACCACUAUCAUAUAAUAUCAUAAAUGUGCAUCUUGUGAUGCUAUUUAAAUCUGGACAGAAUGCAGUGCUUAAAAUCAUUUUGUAAUUGGUAUAAGCGAUGCAGUAAGAAAACACUAGGUAGUUUUUGCACUAUGAAUUCUUUGCACAUACAAACUUUUGUUGGCUUUGCACGUUAACGGCUUGAUACGGGUUCAGAAAGCUAAAUUAUUGUAGAGUAUAUGAGCAGAUGUGCAAUUUUAACAUAUUAUUUAUUUGACUUCCAUGAGAUUCUAAAUGUCUUAUGUUGUGCUGUGAGUAUGUAAUAAUACUAUUUGGUGGGAUUUUAUUUUCAAAAAUGCACGAUGACCGACUGUUGCACAUGUCCAGCGCUCUAUUUGCACAUAAAUUUGUACUAAGCAAUUUUUGCUACUAUUGUUGAUACACUCAAUAAAAAAAAACAUGU